rnacentral:rRNA from 1 species
AUGAACGCUGGCGGCGUGCCUAAUACAUGCAAGUCGAGCGAACAGACGAGGAGCUUGCUCCUCUGACGUUAGCGGCGGACGGGUGAGUAACACGUGGAUAACCUACCUAUAAGACUGGGAUAACUUCGGGAAACCGGAGCUAAUACCGGAUAAUAUAUUGAACCGCAUGGUUCGAUAGUGAAAGACGGUUUUGCUGUCACUUAUAGAUGGAUCCGCGCCGCAUUAGCUAGUUGGUAAGGUAACGGCUUACCAAGGCAACGAUGCGUAGCCGGCCUGAGAGGGUGAUCGGCCACACUGGAACUGAGACACGGUCCAGACUCCUACGGGAGGCAGCAGUAGGGAAUCUUCCGCAAUGGGCGAAAGCCUGACGGAGCAACGCCGCGUGAGUGAUGAAGGUCUUCGGAUCGUAAAACUCUGUUAUUAGGGAAGAACAAAUGUGUAAGUAACUAUGCACGUCUUGACGGUACCUAAUCAGAAAGCCACGGCUAACUACGUG